UCCACUCUCCUGAUAAAGACAGAUGCUCCAACUCUCUGCCCCGCAGACAGCCCACAAGCCCCAGGAUUUUAGUAGAGCAGGCCUCCCCAGAGGAAGAAAGGCAGUCAGGGAGCCUGGGCAGACCUAACAGUCAGAGAGGUAACAGCAAGAAAGGCCUGGAGGCUGACAGGUAAGGUCAUUCUUUCAUUCACCCCAUCCCUCUCAUACACCCCCAUUCAUCCUGUUCUCUAUCUGGAUGGAGAUCAUCGCUCUUCAAAUCUGGAACGUGUUGAUGUCUGAUGUCAAUCUGAAUUGUUACAAUUUGUGACUUUGCUGUAAAUGCAAUUUAGCAGCACAGCAAAACCUUUUCUAAAUGAGCGUUGUUAAGGUGUACUGUCAGUAGACCCAUAGCCCUAGCUCUGUGUUUUCUUGAAUUGUUAUGUCCUUCAUUUAUUGUGUUCUGGU